rnacentral:rRNA from 1 species
AUUGAACGCUGGCGGCAGGCUUAACACAUGCAAGUCGAGCGGAGAUGAGGUACUUGCACCUUAUCUUAGCGGCGGACGGGUGAGUAAUGCUUAGGAAUCUGCCUAUUAGUGGGGGACAACAUUCCGAAAGGGAUGCUAAUACCGCAUACGCCCUACGGGGGAAAGCAGGGGAUCUUCGGACCUUGCGCUAAUAGAUGAGCCUAAGUCGGAUUAGCUAGUUGGUGGGGUAAAGGCCUACCAAGGCGACGAUCUGUAGCGGGUCUGAGAGGAUGAUCCGCCACACUGGGACUGAGACACGGCCCAGACUCCUACGGGAGGCAGCAGUGGGGAAUAUUGGACAAUGGGCGGAAGCCUGAUCCAGCCAUGCCGCGUGUGUGAAGAAGGCCUUUUGGUUGUAAAGCACUUUAAGCGAGGAGGAGGCUACCUGGAUUAAUACUCUAGGAUAGUGGACGUUACUCGCAGAAUAAGCACCGGCUAACUCUGUGCCAGCCGCCGCGGUAAAAC